GAAUAGAUAACGGUAUAGUUAUAUGUAUCUACAAUGUAUGUAGAGAUGAAGUAAUCAACUCCUACGCUGCCCGAACUAUAUAUGAUACCGUUAAGAAGGAUUCGAAAUGGUCGUUCUAUCGUUGUACAACACGUCACCAGUCGGUGAUAUAUUUAAGAGGAUAACGGGAAUAUAAGUGUUUGAUAAUCUCAGAAAAAUGGAUUUAUCAAAUCAUUAUCGUUUCGCAUAAGUAUCCGAACCGUUUUCUAACCUAUUUUAAUGAGAUUUUUAAUAAACAUAGAAAUGGAGUCAAACGAAAGGAAUCAAUUAUCAAAUGGGGAUGCUGCAAGUAACAGGGACAUAGAUUGGUCCAGAUAUGGUUUACAUAAUAACGUAGAAACACAGAGAAAUGAUGAAACACGAAGGAAUAAUAGAGAAUACCAAGAACUUGCACCUGAAAUGUAUGAAACUGGAGCAAAUGAACUUUUUGCUCAAGAAUAUAGUUCGGAUCCAUGGUGGAAAUCAAAUUUCUUUAUUUCACAACCUAUAUUGUUUGGAACAUGGGAUGGAGUUUUUACAUCUUGUCUUAUUAAUAUUUUUGGAGUCAUUGUAUUUUUAAGAUCAGGAUGGAUAGUAGGUCAAGCUGGUGUUCUUAAUGCAAUAUUAAUAAUCUUUUGUACAGUGUGCAUUGCAUUGGUAACUGUAUUAUCUGCUGUGGGAAUAUGCGAAAGAUGUAGAGUUGAAAGUGGAGGGGUUUAUUUUUUACUAUCACAUGUGUUAGGAUCAAGAUUUGGGGGUUCUAUUGGAUUGCUAUAUUGUUUUGGGCAGGCGGUGGGCUGUGCUCUAAAUGUUUUAGGUUUUGGAGAAUCUAUGGCUGGUCUUGUAGGUUUAGAAUCUGCAUGGGCAGAACGUGGUUUUGCUUGUGCUGCAGUUAUCUUGUUGUCUAUUAUAAAUGUUGCUGGUGUCAAAUGGGUGAUAAAGCUGCAAUUCAUUCUUUUGCUAAUUUUGUUAUUAGCUGGUGUAGAUUUUAUGGUUGGAAGCUUUACUCAUGUGAAUAUUGAGGCUGGUUUUGAGGGUUGGCUGUCAGGAAAUUUAAAAAAUAAUACUUUCCCCGCAUAUCAAGAUGGAUACAGUUGGUUCACAGUGUUUGGUGUAUUCUUUCCCACAGUAACUGGUGUGUUAGCUGGUAUCAAUAUGAGCGGAGAUUUAAGACAUCCAUCCACAGAUAUACCUAAUGGUACAUUAGCAGCAGUAGGGACCGGAACUUUAUUGUAUCUAUGUUUCUCAAUGUUUCUCGCAGCGACUUGUACUCGAAAUGCGCUUCUCACGAAUUUCAUGAUAGCAUCAACAGUAUCAGCGAUUUCGGUACUAUUAUUAGCAGGCCUUUAUGUAUCAUCAUUUAGUAGUUGUUUAGGUGCGAUGUACGGUACUCCUAGAGUUCUUCAGUCUAUUGCUAGUCAAAAUGUUAUACCAGGAAUGAGCUGUUUACAAAGAGGGAAAGGACCAAACAAAGUGCCGAUAUACGCCAUGUUAGUUGUUGCUGUCGUUACAUUGACUUUUAUCAUUACUGGCCAAAUUAAUACUCUUGCGCCAAUCGUUACAAUGCCCUUUCUUUUAACAUAUGCAUGCUUGGACUAUGCAUAUUUUGCUCUUGCGCAAACGUUCGACAUACAAUUGAACCGGGAACAACGAUUUCGUACACAGUCACCAACAUUCGAUCGCAACUACGGUUCCGCAAGCAGAAAUAAUUCGAUAACAGACACAGACAAUGAUUUGGACAAUUUAUUCCCUGAAAGAAUAAGACACAAAAAUCUUGUUAGAAAUCCUAGUCUUUCUGAAAAUAACGUCUACAUAGAUUCUUCUCCGAGUGUCGAUGAAAAUGGCAGCACCGUGGAAAAUUCGGAAAAGAAAAUUCAUAUCCAUAAUAAAUUGGGGAAUUGGUACAGUCCUUUAUGUAACAGAUGGCUCUCCUUGCUAGGAUGCCUCAUAAAAUUGCUUAUCAUGUUUCUCGUCCAUUGGGGUUACGCCAUAGCCAACAUUGUCGUCGUUUUUCUAGUUUGGAGUUACGUAGGUCAUGCUAACCCUGCCGUGAUACCAGGAGUAUCAUCAGAAUUUAAAUUCUUCAAAUGGUUGAAAAUAUCUUUGCUAAGACUAAUGGGGAGAAAAAUGUACGAUUACGAACAAAUUGUUGUUGCACCUGUGCAUCCAGGUGUUGAAACAUCUUCGGCUCAGUUGAACGAAGAAAACGAAGAUUUCGCUGGCAGACGAAGAUAUCAUCAAACAGCUACGGUUACAGGGGAAUACGUUAACGUUGAUUGAAAAUGUUGUAGACUAACUAGGCGAAAUAUCGAAUUCGACAAAGUUGCAGAGUAUUUUAUAAAAAUAAAUUAUCUGAAAGUAAUGCACAAGGAAUUUUUUUUGAUACAGUGGAACCCGGUAGCCUUAAGAUUAAUAAUAAUCAAAAAGAGAUAUGCUAAGCAUUUACAUAGUUUUACCACAACUUUUUAUAACAAUUUACUCGAUAUGCAUUAAAUGCUGUAGAAAUAUGUACUGCCAGAAGCGUUUCUAACAACCGAGGGUCCAUAUAUAAUCAGUGAAUUAUUUUAAUUACCGUGUAUUGUAAUAUAAGAUUAUUUAUUCUUUAUAACUUAUAAUUUGUAGUUAGGAUUCAUUGCAAAUGAUUGUAUGAGGGUAUCAAAAAUGCUGGAUAUCAUACCAAUUCGAUAUCAUAUCAUUUAUGACAAAAUACUCUGUACAUAAGUAGUAAUAGUUAUUUAUAGUAUAUGUUACAUUUUUGUAAAUGUCAUUGCAGAGACGAGUUACUAAUAAAAUAUACAU
rnacentral:misc_RNA from 1 species